rnacentral:rRNA from 1 species
AUUGAACGCUGGCGGCGUGCUUAACACAUGCAAGUCGUGCGGUAACAGGCGUAGCAAUACGUGCUGACGAGCGGCGAACGGGUGCGUAAUACAUGGGAAUCUGCCCUUUGGUGGGGAAUAACCCGGCGAAAGCCGGGCUAAUGCCGCAUAAGAUCUUCGGAUGAAAGCGGGGGAUCGUAAGACCUCGCGCCGAUGGAUGAGCCCAUGUCGGAUUAGCUUGUUGGCGAGGUAACGGCUCACCAAGGCGACGAUCAGUAGCCGGCCUGAGAGGGCGGACGGCCACACUGGGACUGAGACACGGCCCAGACUCCUACGGGAGGCAGCAGUGGGGAAUUGUUCGCAAUGGGCGCAAGCCUGACGACGCAACGCCGCGUGGAGGACGAAGACCUCGGUCGUAACU